AGUGAACGCUGGCGGCGUGCUUAACACAUGCAAGUCGAACGAGAACGGAUUAAAGCUUGCUUUAAUUGUCAGCUAAGUGGCGCACGGGUGAGUAAUAUAUAGGUAACGUGCCUUCAAGAAGGGGAUAACAAUUGGAAACGAUGUCUAGGGGAUCUGAGAGGACUACCCCCCACACUGGUACUGAGACACGGACCAG
rnacentral:rRNA from 1 species